GAUGAACGCUGGCGGCGUGCCUAAUACAUGCAAGUCGAGCGAACGGACGAGAAGCUUGCUUCUCUGAUGUUAGCGGCGGACGGGUGAGUAACACGUGGAUAACCUACCUAUAAGACUGGGAUAACUUCGGGAAACCGUAGCUAAUACCGGAUAAUAUUUUGAACCGCAUGGUUCAAAAGUGAAAGACGGUCUUGCUGUCACUUAUAGAUGGAUCCGCGCUGCAUUAGCUAGUUGGUAAGGUAACGGCUUACCAAGGCAACGAUGCAUAGCCGACCUGAGAGGGUGAUCGGCCACACUGGAACUGAGACACGGUCCAGACUCCGACGGGAGGCAGCAGUAGGGAAUCUUCCGCAAUGGGCGAAAGCCUGACGGAGCAACGUCGCGUGAGUGAUGAAGGUCUUCGGAUCGUAAAACUCUGUUAUUAGGGAAGAACAUAUGUGUAAGUAACUGUGCACAUCUUGACGGUACCUAAUCAGAAAGCCACGGCUAACUACGUG
rnacentral:rRNA from 1 species